CCCUUAGAUGUUCUGGGCCGCACGCGCGCUACACUGACUGGUGCAACAAGUGUCGCUCCUUGGCCGAUAGGUCUGGGUAAUCUUUGAACGCUGUUCGUGAUUGGGAUAGACCUUUGCAAUUAUGGGUCUUCAACGAGGAAUUCCUAGUAAACGCAAGUCAUCAGCUUGCAUUGAUUACGUCCCUGCCCUUUGUACACACCGCCCGUCGCACCUACCGAUUGAAUGGUCCGGUGAAAUCUCGGGACGGCGGCUUGGUCGCUUGCGUCCGACUGCUGAAACUUGAUUAAACCAUAUCAUUUAGAGGAAGGUGAAGUCGUAACA
rnacentral:rRNA from 1 species